GACAGAGGUGCCGAGCGUUAGGCGGAAUCACUGGGCUUAAAGCGUGUGUAGGCGGGUCGUUAAGUGUCUUGUGAAAUCCCACCGCUCAACGGUGGAACCGCUGGGCAUACUGGCGAUCUUGAGCAGUCCAGGGGCGAGCGGAACAAGCGGUGGAGCGGUGAAAUGCGUAGAUAUCCAGGGGAACGCCGGAGGAGAAAUCGGGUCGCUGGGCCUUUCCUGACGCUGAGGUGCGAAAGCCAGGGGAGCGAACGGG
rnacentral:rRNA from 1 species